rnacentral:lncRNA from 1 species
GACCUGAGCCCUAGGACCAUGCCUCAGGACUACCUGGCUUGAUGACUCCUUGCUGUCCCCAUUUCACCUGGCCGUGCUGCUGCUCCAGUUCCAACAGUUCUGCCUGCAGCUAUGGAACCCUGACCUGUUCACCGGACGUGCUACCUGUCCCAGACCUGCUGUCCCAGACCUGCUGGAACCCUAACCUAUUCACCGGACGUGCUACCUGUCCUAGACAUGCUGUUUUCAAUUCUCUAGAGACAGCAGGAGCGGUAGAGAUACUCUCAAAGAUCAGCAAUGAAAAGCCAACUGACACUUACUCUUGUGUUACUGACUUGUUGCACCCUCGACAACUACUAUGAUUAUUAUUAUUUGACCAUGCUGGUCAUUUAUGAACAUUUGAACAUCUAGGCCAUGUGCUGUUAUAAUCUCCACCCGGCACAGCCAGAAGAGGACUGGCCACCCCUCAUAGCCUGGUUCCUCUCUAGGUUUCUUCCUAGGUUUUGGCCUUUCUAGAGAGUCUUUCCUAGCCACCGUGCUUCUACACCUGCAUUGCUUGCUGUUUGGGGUUUUAGGCUGGGUUUCUGUACAGCACUUUGAGAUAUCAGCUGAUGUAAGAAGGGCUAUAUAAAUACAUUUGAUUUGAUUUGAUUUGUUCAAUCAAGUUCAUAUUUAUAUCAAAAAACAGCUUUUUACAUUAGCAUGUGAUGUUCAGAACUAGCAUACCCACCGCAAACUUCCGGUGAAUUUACUAAAUUACUCAUGAUAAACGUUGACAAAAUACAUAACAAUUAUUUUAUGAAUUAUAGAUACAGAACUCCUUUAUGCAAUCGCUAUGUUCGAUUUUAAAAUAGCUUUUCGGCGAAAGCACAUUUUGCAAUAUUCUGAGUACAUAGCUCGGCCAUCACGGCUAGCUAUUUUGACAUCCGCCAACUUCGGGGUCACCUAAACUCAGAAUUACUAUUAGAAAAAUUGGAUUACCGUUGCUGUUCUUCGUCAGAAUGCACUCCCAGGACUUCUACUUCAACAACAAAUGUUGUUUUGGUUCCAAAUAAUCCAUAGUUAUAUCCAAAUACCUUCGUUUUGUUCGUGCGUUCAGGUCACUAUCUGAAGGGUAACCCGCGAGCACAUUUCGUGACAAAAAAAUUCAAAAUAUUCCAUUACCGUACUUAGAAGCAUGUCAAACGCUGUUUAAAAUCAAUUUUGAUGCUAUUUUUCUCGUAAAAUAGCGAUAAUAUUCCAAUCGGGCAACGUUGUAUUCAUUCAAAGACUGAAAGAAAAACAUGGCGAGUUCUCGUGAACGCGCAUCUCCAGUCUCACUGUCCCCAGGCUAACCACUUACAAACUCUGCUCCUAUACUUUGCCCAGAGACAGCAGACACCCCAUUCCACUUUCUGGCGGCUUUAGAGAGCCAAUGGAAGCCUUAGAAAGUGUCACGUUACAGCACAGAUGCUGUAAUGUUGAUAGAGAUACAACAGAAGGACAACAAAUUGUCAGACAGGGCACUUCCUGAAUGGAAUCCUCUCAGGUUUUGGCCUGCCAUGUGAGUUCUGUUAUACUCACAGACACCAUUCAAACAGUUUUAGAAACUUUAGAGUGUUUUCUAUCCAAAUCUACUAAUUAUAUGCAUAUUCUAGUUUCUGGGCAGGAGUGGUAACCAGAUUAAUCGGGUACAUUUUUUAUCCGGCCGUGAAAAUACUGCCCCCUAUCCCAAAGAAGUUAAAGAGGUGGGGUUUCAGGUGUCUCCGGAAGGUGGUGAUUGACUCCGCUGUCCUGGCGUUGUGAGGGAGCUUGUUCCACAUGUAAGAACAACCAUCUCUGUAGCACUCCACCAAUCAGACCUUUAUUGUAGAGUGGGCAGUUGGAAGCCACUCCUCAGUAAAAUGCACAUCACAGCCCGCUUGGAGUUUACCAAAAGGCACCUGAAGGACUUUCAGACCAUGAGAAACAAGAUUCUCUGAUUUGAUGAAACCAAGAUUGAACUCUUUGGCCUGAAUGCUAAGAGUCACGUCUGGAGGAAAACUGACACCUUCCCUACAGUGAAGCACGCUGGUGGCAGCAUCAUCCUGUGGGGAUGUUUUUCAGUGGCAGGGACUGGGAGACUAGUCAGGAUCGAGGGAAAGAUGAACAGAGGAAAGUACAGAGAGAUUAUUGAUGAAAACCUGCUCCAGAGCGGGUCGAAACUUCACCUUACAACAGGACAACAACCCUAAGCACACAGCCAAGACAAAGCAGGAAUAGCUUUGUGACAAGUCUCUGAAUGUCCUUGAGUGGCCCAGCUGCAGCCCAGACUUGAACCCAAUCGAACAUAUCUGGAGAAACCUGAAAAUAGCUGUGCAGCAACACUCCCCAUCCAAUCUGACAGCUCUUGAGAGGAUCUGCAGAGAAGAAUGGGAGAAACUCCCCAAAUACAGGAGUGCCACGCUUGUAGCGUCGUACCCAAGAAGACUUGAGGGUGUAAUCACUGCUAACGUCCUCCCAGUUUUGACCCUUGCCUGUUCUGGACUCUGUACCUGCCGGCCUGACCAUUCUGCCUGCCCUGACCUCGAGCCUGCCUGCCAGUCUGUACCUCCUGGACUCUGAUCUGGUUAUGACCUUUGGCCUGUCCACGACCAUUCUCUUG